rnacentral:piRNA from 1 species
GAAAAUCAAUAUUCUGUGGUCUGCCU